rnacentral:lncRNA from 1 species
UUUUUUAUUGUAUUUCCAACACUUUUUUUUUUCCACCGUACAGCAUGGGGACCCAGUUACACACACAUGUAUACAUAAUCUUUUCUCCCAUUGUUGUGCUGUGUUGUAAGUAUCUAGACAUAGUUCUCAAUGCUACACAGCAGGAUCUCAUUGUUAAUCCAUUCCAAGAGCAUAGUUUGUACCCAUUAACCUCAAGCUUCCAAUCCCUCCCACUCUUCCCCAAGAGGGCAAGACUUGUGUUGCCCUCUACACUUUGCAUUCUUUCUAUCUUUGAUCCUCCUUAGGGAAAGGAUUCAGGCCAGAUCUAAAUAAAAUGAACAUGUUGAAACUUCCUUUCCAAGACUUCCUAUUGCCUCCUGCAUGCUCCUCCCCCAUUUGUUCCUCCCUCUUCUUUUUCCCCUUCUCCCCCAUCUAAUUUCUUCUUCAUUACUCAGUUCUGGCUUUGGCUCUUCCUAGAAAACUUCACUGACAGUCCCGGCCUGCUGAGAUGCCCUCCUGUGUGUUAACAAAGCAUCCUAAGCUUACAUUUCCAGCAACACUAAUCAGACUCACAAUUAAUAUGAUGGCUUCAUUUGUAAAAAAUUGGGGAGCUAUAUUCCCAUAAAAAAAUGGCCUCUGGAAUCAGCUUGACAUGACUGCUGACAACACUGAUACCAUUUUACUAGAGAGCCUUCAGCCUGGUCCACUUGUUUUCCUCAAUUAUCUCCUCUAUCAGGAACACUAUUUCCCACUCUCCACAGUGUAUUUGUAAUGCUUAGUCUUGCUAAUAUCCUUUUUUUUUUUAAAAUAGAAAACCAGAACCUUCCUGAUAUACAGGAAAACUGCACUGAAGACUUACUAAAGCCUGUACAGAAGAAAAUAAAAGAACAAUAGAGGAAAGAAAAUUAUCUUGUGGGGUGUUUUAGGCAUAUACUUAUCUAAAGGAUGGAAUGAAAGAGAUUUUUUAAAAUUUUGUUUUAUAGUUUUUUUUGUGCUCACUGUGACUCAUAUUUCCCUUUUGAAUUCACUGAUAAUUGUGAAAUAUAUUCUCAAUCCUGCCACAGUAAAACACACAAAUGGGAGGAAACAUUUACAUAAGCUUACUAGAAGGAUUCUGCUAAUUCAAGUCAUGUGGAAUCACAUGAUGAAUUCAUUCCUAACUAUUCUAAUAUCGCAUAAUAAAAUACACCUGUAAUAGAAGUUAAAAUAUUUAUAAUAAUAUAUACAUUGCAAGAAACCCUUGACAUUUCCCAUAAACAAAAGAUACACAUUUGCCACAAUUUUAACAAGUGGAUGUUUAAACCAUCUAUUUCCACACAUAUGCUAAUUAUUGUGCUAUGAAUAGCCAAUAAUUGAUUAAAAGGCAUUUUUCGGAUAUUAAAUCUGUGCAAAUACAUGAUCAUCCAAAGAAUUUAAAAAACCCAAUAGCCAAAGACGGAGACAGGAAAAAACAUCAUGCUUCAACUACUUUAAUAAAUGAACUAAAGAUACAUAUUUCCUAUGAAACACUAAAACAAAAUGUGUUUUUAUUACCUUUCAUGAGCUGGUGGCUAAGAUUGUUGAAAUCUAAUAUGAGCAAGCUGCCUUUAAUUCACAAAUGUGGGGGCCCUUCUGCUUAUUGAAAUGCUGUCAAGAAAGAUAAGUCUGUGAACGCAUGUAGUACCAAAAGUGAGACAGUCUUAAAAUUUACAAAGUAACUAUAAAAAUAUGGAGUAGUACCAAAAACAAACAUCUAUAUCAUCUAUGGAAAAAUAUUACUGAGCACUUUUAGUCUUUUCUUUGACAUGUUGAAGUAUUUUAGGUUGACCCAGCUGUAAGAUUAGGGGGGAAGGAGGGAAGAAACACUUCUUUAAGGAACACUUACUAUGCUAAACAUUAUCACACCGAAGGCCUAUCUAUCUAUCUAUCACCUAUUUAGCAACCUAUUUAUUUGUCCGUCUAUACAUCUAUCUACACUCUCUCAUCUGUAAGUAAGGUGUUCUUUCCCCAAUAUUACACAUAAAAACAGCAGAGAAAGUCCAUCAUAGCUUGCCCAAGGCCACCACAGCAAAUUGAAAACUUGAACCCACAUCAGUUGAUUCCCAGGCUAAUACCACUUAAGGGAUUUUCUUUUGUGAUGAUGGCUUUAUUGGGGGCAAUGAGCACAUAGCUAUCACAAGGGUCUUCCUAGGUACUGUCAUCUCUAAUAGACUAUAGGUUAUUAAUUGCAGGAGUUGUAAACUAUUUAUUAAAUCCCUUAUUCAC